rnacentral:lncRNA from 1 species
UUUUGUAUAAGAGGUGAUUACUGAAUAUGUAAGAUUAUUUUCACGAACUAGGGUAGAACAUUAGUGCUAUUAGAUUUUCAGUUUUUAGAUGAAGCGAUCGAUGUACGGUUAGGAUAAUAGUGAUUUUCUAAUAUUGACUUGGUGGUUGGUUGAAUAGUAUGAUCUAACGGAUAAAAAUAAUCAAAAAAAGAAAAAAAACUUGACAGCACCAAGUGCUCGGUACUAUCGAUGGCAUUAUAACCAAACUCUUAUUUUCACAAUAGAAUUACACUUUUUGACUAUAAAUUGAAUUUUUACUUACGCUUCAUUACUUAUAAGUCGAUAUGCAGCAGUUGAGUUAUUAUCUAUAAGUAAAAUUGUAAUAGUAAUAUAAUUUUAGUAAAUUUCAGAAAGAUAUAAACGUAUAGAACUUACUCUGAACUAUGAAUUAUUUUGUUUCGAUUCCUUAAUUUUUCAAUUUGUUUGAUUUAUAUUAGUCGACAAUACUUCAACUUUACGAGAUUGUAUUAUUAGCGACUUUUUUAUAAAUCACGCUUUAUA